rnacentral:misc_RNA from 1 species
CAUUAUCAUACAAUGGAGGUGCUGGGGUUGUCGCUGACUUUUGAAAAGGUCGUGCACACCUUGGUGCUCUCACACAUAAUCCAUCUCACCCCUCUUGUGCAUCACCGCGUGGGGACCCCUUUUGGCUAGUUCUGAGGGGGGUCUUCACGUUUUUACAUAGACACCCUUUUAAUGAAAUGUGUAGAAUGUCUUACUUUUGCGAUCACACGCAAUCAAUACAACUUUCAACAACGGAUCUCUUGGCUCUCGCAUCGAUGAAGAACGCAGCGAAAUGCGAUACGUAAUGUGAAUUGCAGAAUUCAGUGAAUCAUCGAAUCUUUGAACGCACCUUGCGCCCUUUGGUAUUCCGAGGGGCACACCCGUUUGAGUGUCGUGACAUUCUCAAAACCUUCUUGGUUUCUUGACCGGGAAGGCUUUGGACUUUGGAGGCUUUUGCUGGCCUUUCUUUGUUGAAGCCAGCUCCUCUGAAAUGAAUUAGUGGGGUCUGCUUUGCUGAUCCUUGACGUGAUAAGAUAUUUUCUACGUCUUGGGUUUCGCACCGUUCCUGCUUCUAACCGUCUCAUAGAAGACAAUGGUCAAGUGAUUGCCACUUGACCCACAAACCUUGACCUCAAA